CAUUGUCUGUGCUUAAGAAUCCCAUCAUGCUUCCAGUUUCAUACACAAUCUCUAUACUUGUCCCAUUUGGUUUAUAUGUGCUGGAUUUGCUGCUGUUGUAUUGAUUAUGCCAAGCUGCAAGAAACCAGAAUUUUGAGAAAAACUUGCACUCCAGGUUCCCUACCCUUCCACAAGAAAUUUUCCUACCACAAAAAUAUCCACUCAACAGUGGUUGGCGUUGAGCACACAUCAAUGCGACUGCAAACAGCACAUCAAACCUAGCUGGAAAUUCAUGAGCUGACACUGCAGAAAAGUGGAAUUUUACAAGUCUCAAUUUUUACUUUUAUUUGAUCGACAUCUAGCAAGAGACACUAACGCAACCAUGACACGUCAAGAAUUAUUGAAAACCUUUCACACUCUCGGUGCAAAGCGACAUUAUUACAUGCUGUGUCAAGUUACUAUGUAAUUUACACAUACAUUCUCCCUGUUGCUGAAUAAUUGCUUUGUUUGUGAAUCACUAAGAAAAACUAGGUUUCUGUAUUUCUAUAUAUUUUUUUUAGUAUCUAUACUACCCUUAAAAAAAUCUUCAAAAAAUAAAAUUUUAAAACCAUUUCUUCUUAAAUAUAAAUGAUCAGUAUCCUAUGAGAAACAAAAUCAUUUAGUCUUUUGCUAAUUUACUGUUUAAAAAAACAAAAAAUACCAAAUUAAUCACCUGCAAAAUAAUAAUAAGUGUCCCUGUAAAGAUUAUAAAUAAUUUAUAAACAAUUUAUGUACAGUGUCUGCUAAUCAGCAAAAUGUGUUUUAUUGGUGUAAACUUCAACUGAAAGCUAAUAAUUAUCUUACCAAUGUAUUUAUUUAUUUAUUCUAUUUAUUCGGUAUAAAACACUCAAAAGGUAACAAAAGUUGAAAUUUUUUUGAGUUGACUUAAAAUAAUGAAUUUAAUAUAUCUUAAGCUGUAAGGAAAGAUAAAGAAAAAGACGCAAAUUCAUGCACAGAAAAAAGACAAGAAAAAAAUGCAGUACCAAAGCCAAUUCUAAUCUUUACACACAAAUGGAAACUGACGCAGCCCAUUUCUUAAAAAUGAUGAGUUUGCUAGCUGUCAAUCAAAGCAGUAUAUGAUACACUAUCUAUGGUCCCAUCUGAGAAUAAUUAUCUAUUAUUCACCAUUUAUCUGCUUAUUUGUUAAAAUGUCUUCCUUUUUUGUCUAUCAGUGGAAACACCUUGUACUCAUCUACGUAUAGUGAAUUCCACUGUGUAUAAUUUGAUCCGUCGAUAUAAAAUGAAAAUGAAAUUAAUUAUAAUAAAUUUAAAAUACCAUGUUAAAAGAUUCAAAAAUUGGCAUAUAAAAAAUGUAUUUUAUGGUUUACACAACACUAAUAUAUUGCAUGCAUAUUAUUGCUCUAAAAAUGAAGUAAGAGAAAACACACAACCAACCAAAAAAAUCUGAAAAAUCUUUAGUCGGCUUAUUUUUUGUUUAUUUUUUUACCAAGGAUGAGGGUGAGCGAUGGUUGGUUGGUGAUAGGUAUAGGCCAUGGACAUACAUCAAUUGAGACCUGUUGAUUUUUAUGUAUAAACUGGUCAAAUUAAGCUAAAAUUUAUUCAAAAUAUCAUGUAGUAAUUGCCUUAACCAAAAACAGACUGACACAGGUUUUCAAGUGUCACCAGUGGC